rnacentral:rRNA from 1 species
CGAACGGUAGCACAGAGAGCUUGCUCUUGGGUGACGAGUGGCGGACGGGUGAGUAAUGUCUGGGAAACUGCCCGAUGGAGGGGGAUAACUACUGGAAACGGUAGCUAAUACCGCAUAACGUCGCAAGACCAAAGUGGGGGACCUUCGGGCCUCACACCAUCGGAUGUGCCCAGAUGGGAUUAGCUAGUAGGUGGGGUAAUGGCUCACCUAGGCGACGAUCCCUAGCUGGUCUGAGAGGAUGACCAGCCACACUGGAACUGAGACACGGUCCAGACUCCUACGGGAGGCAGCAGUGGGGAAUAUUGCACAAUGGGCGCAAGCCUGAUGCAGCCAUGCCGCGUGUAUGAAGAAGGCCUUCGGGUUGUAAAGUACUUUCAGCGAGGAGGAAGGCAUUAAGGUUAAUAACCUUGGUGAUUGACGUUACUCGCAGAAGAAGCACCGGCUAACUCCGUGCCAGCAGCCGCGGUAAUACGGAGGGUGCAAGCGUUAAUCGGAAUUACUGGGCGUAAAGCGCACGCAGGCGGUCUGUCAAGUCGGAUGUGAAAUCCCCGGGCUCAACCUGGGAACUGCAUUCGAAACUGGCAGGCUAGAGUCUUGUAGAGGGGGGUAGAAUUCCAGGUGUAGCGGUGAAAUGCGUAGAGAUCUGGAGGAAUACCGGUGGCGAAGGCGGCCCCCUGGACAAAGACUGACGCUCAGGUGCG